UACAGAAGCCUCAAGCGUUACCCGGAUUUACUGGGCGUAAAGGGUGUGUAGGUGGUGUGAUCAGUCUUGUGUUAAACCUUCGGGCUCAACCCGAAGCGCGCGCGAGAUACGGUCACACUAGAGGAAGUAAGAGGUGUGUGGAACUCAAGGUGUAGGGGUGAAAUCCGUUGAUAUCUUGGGGAACACCAAAAGCGAAGGCAACACACUGGUACUUUCCUGACACUGAAACACGAAAGCGUGGGUAGCGAAUCGG
rnacentral:rRNA from 1 species